rnacentral:rRNA from 1 species
CCUACGGGUGGCAGCAGUGAGGAAUAUUGGUCAAUGGGCGUAAGCCUGAACCAGCCAAGUCGCGUGAGGGAUGAAGGUUCUAUGGAUCGUAAACCUCUUUUAUAAGGGAAUAAAGUGCGGGACGUGUCCCGUUUUGUAUGGACCUUAUGAAUAAGGAACGGAUAACUCCGUGCCAGCAGCCGCGGUAAUACGGAGGGGCCGAGCGUUAGCCGGAUUUAGAGGGUUGAAAGGGUGCGUAGGCGGGCUUUUAAGUCAGCGGUGAAAGUCUGUGGCUCAACCAUAGAAGUGCCGUUGAAACUGGCAGGCUUGAGUAUGUUUGCGGCCGGCGGAAUGCGUGGUGUAGCGGUGAAAUGCUUAGAUAUCACG